GCUUGUCUCAAAGAUUAAGCCAUGCAUGUCUCAGUAUAAGCUUCUACCUGGCGAAGCUGCGACUGGCUCAUUACAACAGCUAUUGUUUAGGUGGUGGUUGUUUAUUACAUGGAUAACCUUGGUAAUUCUAAUGCUAAUAGAUGCGCAGAAGCCUGACUUCUUGGAUUGGUUGCUUUUAUUAGACACAGAACCAACCCAGGUUCGCCUGGACUCUGGCGAGUCAUGGUAGCCGAGCGAAUGGCAUAGCAUCAGCUGGCAAUGUACCAUUCAAGUUUCUGACCUAUCAGCUUCCGACGGUAGGGUAUUGGCCUACCGUGGCUAUGACGGGUAGCGGGGAAUUAGGGUUCGACUCCGGAGAGGAAGCCUGAGGCACGGCUACCACAUCUAAGGAAGGCAGCAGG
rnacentral:rRNA from 1 species